CGUGAUAGACGGUCGUGACCGCUAGUCUCUCGUAGUUUAGUUCCGCCUGUUUUUGUAUUGUGCCGCGAGUUAUCAAUAUCAUUUAUCAAUCGUAGGACUUUGAUUAUUUUCGUAUUUACUCCAAGUUUUGUGAUCAUCAACACGGUUACACUAUUAAGAAUAUUUCAGUGUUAUAAUCCUGUGUUGCUUGAUUUCAAGCUCUCGAAAAUUUCGUUAAGUAAUGUGCACGAAAAUUAAAUAACUACAGGCAGAAACAUUUAAAUGGGUGCCGUUCAGUAGUUUGUGAGUGGAUUGGAAGGAUGGGGACUGACGAUGGGGGAUUGCGGCCACUGCUCUAAAUUCGUCACCAUGCAGCUGUUUCACGAGUUGAAGCAACAGUUCCCCACGCUCCCCGACCACGUUGUCUCCCAAUGCAUCGUCCAGAGCAAUCGCGAUCGGGAGACGUGCACAAGACGGUUGCGAGCAAGACAGGACUCGCGACCACCCCCGGGUGCCUUUCCACCACCAGCGCCACAACCCGAAGAUCCUAUAGCUGAGAUUUACUUGUCGGAGUAUCCGCCGCUGAGGCUUGCAAUGAGCGAGCAACGUCAAAAUCCGCAACAACAAUUGGCUGCCGUGGACCCAUCCAAACUGCGGCCACUGACGCUGGACGUGGAUACGCGGUCAGCGGCCAUACAGACCUCGAGUCAAGAAUCCUCGGCUUCAUCGGCUCCCAUGCUCAGCGAUCCUUUCCUGGCCGCGCAAUCGAAGCCUGCAUCAUCGUUCGCGCUCAGCGUCAAUGUCAAUUGCAGUCCGGUCGUUGAGGCGCACGACCUGCUGACGACAUGCGUACCGGAUGAAUUGUCAGGCUACCAGCCGAUCUUGAUCCCCGCGGAUCCUACCCCGCGAAGUGUCACUUCGGUCAGUUUAACCCUGCGACCACCGUCGAGCGAAGCCCCGCUACAACAACCCACCACUUCGAGCAGCAUCGACAUCAGUUCGCAAGGACUGAGCAGUCUUACCUACUCCAGUUCGGAUCCUCGCGCUGGUGGUUAUCAAAGUCACCUGCAAAUCAGCAUCGCUCGAAACAAACGACCGAAACUGCGACAGCCGCAGAGGCCUAAUACAUUGGAUACAUCGAUUUACGACUUGAGAGCUCAAUCCAGCCGACCGCCCGGGUUGCCAUCAGGACCAGCCAAUCUGUUACCUCCCCUAACAGCAGCGAUGAGCGCACCAACUACACCAUCAAGUCCAGCGCAAAACAUUGCUUUACCGUCAAGCAGUUUGCCGACGACACCACUGGCUGGACCCUCUACGGGUCUUGCCGCGAUCUCUUGUAUACCUCAUCAUACGGCUAGUCGUGAAAAUUCGUCUGGGUAUCCGUCGCAAUACCAAGGAAUUUUGGCCGAUGUUCCGUACGAGCUGAAAUCUCUGGUGACAAAUCAAUUGAUCAGCAGGGAUCGACUUGCAGCAGUAGUAGCAGCCGAGAAACAAAAAUUAGCCGCCUUGGAGCAGGAAGUUGAAAUGCUGAAUAAAGAAAUAUCACCAGAGGAAUAUGAACGACAAUUACACAGUGAGAUAUAUCACUUGCAGCUAGAAUGCGAUAAGUUAGCCGACGAGGUUGACCGCGCUUCCGGUUCUCGAGUUCCCCUCGGAGAGACGAGUGAAGAAUUCUAUCAAAAUAUAUACACAGGUCAGCAAUUCGUUCCGACAACAACUAACAGAGAACCACCGCCUUUACCUAGUCAACCGCCCGCAUGGGAGCCGCAAUCGACUAGAACUGCAAAUCAGGACGAGCCAGAAGGACCACCUUGGUUCUGCUCUCAAUGCACUUUUGCAAAUCACCCACAAAUACAAAAAUGCGAGUUAUGCGAAUCGCCAAGGUUCGUCGAGCGUCGUGAAGGUACUGCUAAUCAUACGACAGGCUUUUACAACUUUCCUUCUACAUCAAGAUGAUUAAUGCAUAUCGAGUUUAACGAUUUUUCUCAAUAACUGCAUGUGUCAAGUAACACUCAAGAUAUUCGCAUAAGAGUUACUCAUCAUCACGAACUUCCACCGCGACGAACACUCAAUAAUUGGGUAAUAUGAUGUCUAUCAAUCAACAAGAAUUUCAAUUUGUAUAUAAAAAAU